GACAGAGGCCUCGAGCGUUAGGCGGAAUCACUGGGCUUAAAGCGUGUGUAGGCGGGCCCGUAAGUGUCUUGUGAAAUCCUACGGCUCAACCGUGGAACUGCUGGGCAUACUGCGGGUCUUGGGCCAACUAGGGGCAGCCGGAACAAGCGGUGGAGCGGUGAAAUGCGUAGAUAUCGCUUGGAACGCCGAAGGUGAAAACAGGCUGCUGGGGUUGCGCCGACGCUGAGACACGAAAGCCAGGGGAGCAAACGGG
rnacentral:rRNA from 1 species